ACGGAAGGCAGCAGUGAGGAAUAUUGGUCAAUGGGCGGAAGCCUGAACCAGCCAUCUCGCGUGCAGGACUACGGCCCUACGGGUCUUAAACUGCUUUUAUGGGGGGAUAAAGUCGGGCAUUCGUGUCCGUUUGCAGGUACCCCAUGAAUAAGGAUCGGCUAACUCCGUGCCAGCAGCCGCGGUAAUACGGAGGAUCCGAGCGUUAUCCGGAUUUAUUGGGUUUAAAGGGUGCGCAGGCGGCACGUUAAGUCAGCGGUGAAAUGUCGGGGCUCAACCCGGGCACUGCCGUUGAAACUGGCGAGCUUGAGUACGGAUGAAGUCGGCGGAAUGUGAUGUGUAGCGGUGAAAUGCUUAGAUAUGUCACAGAACACCGAUUGCGAAGGCAGCUGACUAAUCCGCAACUGACGCUCAGGCACGAAAGCGUGGGGAUCGAACAGGAUUAGAUACCCUGGUA
rnacentral:rRNA from 1 species